UACGUAGGGGGCAAGCGUUGUCCGGAAUUAUUGGGCGUAAAGCGCGCGCAGGUGGCUUCUUAAGUCUGAUGUGAAAGCCCACGGCUCAACCGUGGAGGGUCAUUGGAAACUGGGAAGCUUGAGUGCAGAAGAGGAGAGUGGAAUUCCACGUGUAGCGGUGAAAUGCGUAGAGAUGUGGAGGAACACCAGUGGCGAAAGCGGCUCUCUGGUCUGUAACUGACGCUGAGGCGCGAAAGCGUGGGGAG
rnacentral:rRNA from 1 species